rnacentral:rRNA from 1 species
UCGAGCGAGUCUGCCUUGAAGAUCGGAGUGCUUGCACUCUGUGAAACAAGAUACAGGCUAGCGGCGGACGGGUGAGUAACACGUGGGUAACCUGCCCAAGAGAUCGGGAUAACACCUGGAAACAGAUGCUAAUACCGGAUAACAACAGAUGAUGCCUAUCAACUGUUUAAAAGAUGGUUCUGCUAUCACUCUUGGAUGGACCUGCGGUGCAUUAGCUAGUUGGUAGGGUAACGGCCUACCAAGGCGAUGAUGCAUAGCCGAGUUGAGAGACUGAUCGGCCACAUUGGGACUGAGACACGGCCCAAACUCCUACGGGAGGCAGCAGUAGGGAAUCUUCCACAAUGGACGCAAGUCUGAUGGAGCAACGCCGCGUGAGUGAAGAAGGGUUUCGGCUCGUAAAGCUCUGUUGUUGGUGAAGAAGGACGGGGGUAGUAACUGACCUUUGUUUGACGGUAAUCAAUUAGAAAGUCACGGCUAACUACGUGCCAGCAGCCGCGGUAAUACGUAGGUGGCAAGCGUUGUCCGGAUUUAUUGGGCGUAAAGCGAGUGCAGGCGGUUCGAUAAGUCUGAUGUGAAAGCCUUCGGCUCAACCGGAGAAUUGCAUCAGAAACUGUCGAGCUUGAGUACAGAAGAGGAGAGUGGAACUCCAUGUGUAGNNNUGAAAUGCGU